rnacentral:rRNA from 1 species
CCUGAGAAACCCGAAAGUUCGAAUGGGGAGAUUCAUCGUCAGCGGACCCGGUGCGCGCGUGCAUCGCGAUGCUCCGUGGGGCCCCCGUGGUCCACCGGACACACGCUUGCUCGUGCGUCAGUUGCCGGGGUCUCGUCGGCGUGCACUUCUCCCCUAGUAGGACGUCGCGACCCGUUGGGUGUCGGUCUACGGCCCGGGGCAGAUGUCUGUUCUGUCGUCCCGUGCUUCGCGGCACGGCGUCGCGGGACAGCCCCCCGUGCGCCCGACCCGGCUGCCCGGCGGUACUCGUACGGUAUCGGGCCGCAAUCGAAUUGCGUCCGGCCCGCCGCAAGCGUGCGUCAGCAGUACACCCGGAUGUUCGGACCCAGUGCCGUCACCGGUCCUGACCAGCUGUUCGUCGGCGGUGCUCUUGGACAGGCCACAAUCGAGAUAUGUUACCGGUCGGCGACGCUAUUGCUUUGGGUACUCUCAGGACCCGUCUUGAAACACGGACCAAGGAGUCUAACAUGUGCGCGAGUCAUUGGGAACACGUUAAACCCAAAGGCGAAAUGAAAGUGAAGAUCGGCCUUGCGCCGAUCGAGGGAGGAUGGGUCGCGUCACGAUGCGACCCCGCACUCCCGGGGCGUCUCGUUCUCAUUGCGAGAAGAGGCGCACCCAGAGCGUACACGUUGGACCCGAA